GACAGAGGGGGCAAGCGUUGCUCGGAAUUACUGGGCGUAAAGGGCGCGUAGGCGGCGCGGUAAGUCACUUGUGAAAAUCUCUGAGCUUAACUCAGAACGGCCAAGUGAUACUGCAGUGCUAGAGUGCAGAAGGGGCAAUCGGAAUUCUUGGUGUAGCGGUGAAAUGCGUAGAUAUCAAGAGGAACACCUGAGGUGAAGACGGGUUGCUAGGCUGACACUGACGCUGAGGCGCGAAAGCCAGGGGAGCAAACGGG
rnacentral:rRNA from 1 species